rnacentral:rRNA from 1 species
UCGGGAAUUUUGGGCAAUGGGCGAAAGCCUGACCCAGCAACGCCGCGUGAGGGAUGAAGUAUUUCGGUAUGUAAACCUCGAAAGAAUGGGAAGAAUAAAUGACGGUACCAUUUAUAAGCUCCGGCUAACUACGUGCCAGCAGCCGCGGUAAUACGUAGGGAGCAAGCGUUGUUCGGAUUUACUGGGCGUAAAGGGCGCGUAGGCGGCGCGGUAAGUCACUUGUGAAAUCUCUGAGCUUAACUCAGAACGGCCAAGUGAUACUGCUGUGCUAGAGUGCGGAAGAGGCAACCUGAAUUCUUGGUGUAGCGGUGAAAUGCGUAGAUAUCAAGAGGAACACCUGAGGCGAAGGCGGGUUGCUGGGCCGACACUGACGCUGAUGCGCGAAAGCCAGGGGAGCAAACG